UACAGAGGUCUCAAGCGUUGUUCGGAUUCAUUGGGCGUAAAGGGUGCGUAGGUGGCGGGGUAAGUCAGGUGUGAAAUUUCGGAGCUUAACUCCGAAACUGCAUUUGAUACUGCCUUGCUUGAGGACUGGAGAGGAGACUGGAAUUCACGGUGUAGCAGUGAGAUGCGUAGAGAUCGUGAGGAAGACCAGUGGCGAAGGCGGGUCUCUGGACAGUUCCUGACACUGAGGCACGAAGGCCAGGGGAGCAAACGGG
rnacentral:rRNA from 1 species